ACAAGCUAAAAGAUACAAAGGGAAAAGUGUGACUGCUCUGACAGCAAAAACAAGCAAAUAUCUCCAGAGGGGAUUAAUCCUUCUGCUUCAAAGUAACUAAAACAAAGAAAGCUGAGCCAGCUUCACUGGAAACAACACCUGUCCAUCAGACAAGGAUGAGCUAAU
rnacentral:lncRNA from 1 species